ensembl:rRNA 5S_rRNA 5S ribosomal RNA
CCUUACCACCCUGAAGGUUCCUGAUAUGAUCUGAUCUCAGAAAUUAAUUAAAAACAGGCCUAGUUAGUAUCUGGAUGAGAGAGGUAUCAGAAAUUGGGUGUGGGAGAGA